CCGCUCCAGCUGAGGCCUCCGCCAGAUCCCUCGGCCCGUCCCACUUUCGUUUCUUCCCGGUCCCAGGCAGCGUGUUUGGCAGGCCCUCCAGAGCUCAGUGCUGGGAAUCACCGGUGCACCGGACAGCGUUUGGCCCCGUGUCUGGACCACAGGAGGGGCAGCGUCAGCCUCCGCUGCAUGGGAAUGGGACCCUGAACCCGAAGUCCACCUGCUGAGCUGGAGGUCAGGCACCGGCGAGCAGAGCGCCACCUGCUGGUUAUAGCCCCACCGCGCAGGCACGCGCAUGGCUCAGGCAGGGACGCAGGGACCCAGGACAAGUUACACACGGCAGACGUGACCCUUGCCCUCAAGGAACUUAAAUAGUGCUCAACAAUAUUUGAAUAAAUACUAGCAUGUAUUCACUCAACAAA